ensembl:lncRNA
CUAUAGAUUAAUGUCAUACAAAGGAGACUGACAUGGAAGUUUUAUGAAAAUCAGAGCAAAGGGGGAUUGCUUUUAUUUGGAUACACACAAUCAACAUGUUAUGUAAUUCAAAAUAUGAGUUACCAACGAAAAGGGUUAGAUCAGCUAUGGAGACCUACAGAAAGGCAGUUUGCCAACCCUGUGAAUGAAGAGAAGAGGCUGCACAAAACCAGGCAGAAAGAAACAUGUAAGACUCAGUGAUUCUAGCACACGGCUGGCAGGUAUUGAUAGAAUAUAUUGUAACGCUGUGAUUGAACUGGGGACAUAAGUGAUUACUAAAAUCACAGUAGUUAUUAGAAUGAUUAGAAACGCUUUUCUCUUUAUGUGAUUUUCUUCAUCUCUCUGUCUUCCUCUCUCUCCAGGUCCGGGCUUCUUCAGAGCUCUGAGAACAGCCAAACAGCAGAACAGGUUUAUGGCGAGGAAAACUGUGAAGUGUACCAGAAAUGUAAGGCUGUCUUCAGUGCAUCAGUGAUCAGUGCAGUUCUCACACAAAAUCUACAGCGCUGGAUAUGUUGCAUGGAUCUGAGAACAACCAUGAGACAAAACAACUGGACGGAGAGGAAGAGAAGGAACUGCAGUGAAAGGAACCAUGUAUAUACCUUCACAUUCAACAAUCUUAGUAUACUCAUGAUGCCCAAACAGGAUCCAAGAGUGAUUAUCCAGACCACAGUGCAGCAGAUCACUCUAUAUCUGAGAGAAUAGUGAGGAAUCCUGUGAAAAUAAAA